rnacentral:rRNA from 1 species
AUGAACGCUAGCUACAGGCUUAACACAUGCAAGUCGAGGGGCAGCAUGGUCUUAGCUUGCUAAGGCCGAUGGCGACCGGCGCACGGGUGAGUAACACGUAUCCAACCUGCCGUCUACUCUUGGACAGCCUUCUGAAAGGAAGAUUAAUACAAGAUGGCAUCAUGAGUCCACAUGUUCACAUGAUUAAAGGUAUUCCGGUAGACGAUGGGGAUGCGUUCCAUUAGAUAGUAGGCGGGGUAACGGCCCACCUAGUCUUCGAUGGAUAGGGGUUCUGAGAGGAAGGUCCCCCACAUUGGAACUGAGACACGGUCCAAACUCCUACGGGAGGCAGCAGUGAGGAAUAUUGGUCAAUGGGCGAGAGCCUGAACCAGCCAAGUAGCGUGAAGGAUGACUGCCCUAUGGGUUGUAAACUUCUUUUAUAAAGGAAUAAAGUCGGGUAUGGAUACCCGUUUGCAUGUACUUUAUGAAUAAGGAUCGGCUAACUCCGUGCCAGCAGCCGCGGUAAUACGGAGGAUCCGAGCGUUAUCCGGAUUUAUUGGGUUUAAAGGGAGCGUAGAUGGAUGUUUAAGUCAGUUGUGAAAGUUUGCGGCUCAACCGUAAAAUUGCAGUUGAUACUGGAUAUCUUGAGUGCAGUUGAGGCAGGCGGAAUUCGUGGUGUAGCGGUGAAAUGCUUAGAUAUCACGAAGAACUCCGAUUGCGAAGGCAGCCUGCUAAGCUGCAACUGACAUUGAGGCUCGAAAGUGUGGGUAUCAAACAGGAUUAGAUACCCUGGUAGUCCACAUGGUAAACGAUGAAUACUCGCUGUUUGCGAUAUACGGCAAGCGGCCAAGCGAAAGCGUUAAGUAUUUCACCUGGGGAGUACGCCGGCAACGGUGAAACUCAAAGGAAUUGACGGGGGCCCGCACAAGCGGAGGAACAUGUGGUUUAAUUCGAUGAUACGCGAGGAACCUUACCCGGGCUUAAAUUGCAGAUGAAUUACGGUGAAAGCCGUAAGCCGCAAGGCAUCUGUGAAGGUGCUGCAUGGUUGUCGUCAGCUCGUGCCGUGAGGUGUCGGCUUAAGUGCCAUAACGAGCGCAACCCUUGUUGUCAGUUACUAACAGGUUCCGCUGAGGACUCUGACAAGACUGCCAUCGUAAGAUGUGAGGAAGGUGGGGAUGACGUCAAAUCAGCACGGCCCUUACGUCCGGGGCUACACACGUGUUACAAUGGGGGGUACAGAGGGCCGCUACCACGCGAGUGGAUGCCAAUCCCCAAAACCUCUCUCAGUUCGGACUGGAGUCUGCAACCCGACUCCACGAAGCUGGAUUCGCUAGUAAUCGCGCAUCAGCCAUGGCGCGGUGAAUACGUUCCCGGGCCUUGUACACACCGCCCGUCAAGCCAUGGGAGCCGGGGGUACCUGAAGUGCGUAACCGCGAGGAGCGCCCUAGGGUAAAACUGGUGACUGGGGCU